GAUCCUGGCUCAGGAUGAGCGCUGGCGGCGUGCCUAACACAUGCAAGUCGAGCGAAGCACUUUGCUUAGAUUCUUCGGAUGAAGAGGAUUGUGACUGAGCGGCGGACGGGUGAGUAACGCGUGGGUAACCUGCCUCAUACAGGGGGAUAACAGUUAGAAAUGACUGCUAAUACUGCAUAAGACCACAGCACCGCAUGGUGCGGGGGUAAAAACUUCGGUGGU
rnacentral:rRNA from 1 species